rnacentral:lncRNA from 1 species
ACGCCUCCUCCAGUUACCCUACAGGUUUCCCACUGGCCCCGCCUACUGGUGACUUGAGUAACGGAUCCAGCUUGAAAGCUGCGGCGCAAUUCAUGGCCCUCACGGCUGGAAGGCCAAGUUCAGUUUUCCUCCAGUCUUUACCUGAGAUGAGCGAUUCUGGGAAGCAAUCGGCUAUAAGGUGUACCACUCAAGUAAUAAGAGGAUAAGUUCACCAAACACUUUAAAGAUGUUCUGGAAAUAUUUUCUCCUUACCCCAUCCCUUUGGACUUGGAAUAAUAAUGCAGUUUUGUCAGCAAGGAUAGUGUUCUGAUAGUAUUUGUAUCUGACUUCAGGAAGAAAGUAAAUUAGAAUGGGGCUCUACAAG